CGGUGCGGUGCCACCACUCCGGUGUCACCCCUCCCCACCGCACCCCGGCUCACCGGGGCAGGGCCCCGCUAUUUAAUAGGUGCUCGACAGCCGGGAGUGCCGUGCCAAGGACGGGGAUCCCGAGUGCUGCCGGCAUUGCCUCUUCUGGGAACUUUUCUGCAGCUUGGAGACCGCUGAGGAUGUGUGACCACAACCAAGGCCCACCAAAAGCAUACCUUGCAGUGUGCCCACCCGCCCCUCCAGGAUACCGUGGUCCUGACAGAAGUCCCUACCCUCCUGGUGUUGCAGUUUGCCCUGCUGCCCCUCCAGGAUACCGUGGUCCUGGCGAGAACCUGGCAGUCUGCCCCCCGGGCCCUGCUCCUCCUGGCCAGCACCCCCAUGGGCACCCCCCAUCGGGGCAUCAUCUCCAUGGGCACCAGGAGCACCAUAAAAAACACUGAAAGCACCAUGA